rnacentral:rRNA from 1 species
AUGAACGCUGGCGGCGUGCCUAAUACAUGCAAGUCGAGCGAACGGACGAGAAGCUUGCUUUUCUGAUGUUAGCGGCGGACGGGUGAGUAACACGUGGAUAACCUACCUAUAAGACUGGGAUAACUUCGGGAAACCGGAGCUAAUACCGGAUAAUAUUUUGAACCGCAUGGUUCAAAAGUGAAAGACGGUCUUGCUGUCACUUAUAGAUGGAUCCGCGCUGCAUUAGCUAGUUGGUAAGGUAACGGCUUACCAAGGCAACGAUGCAUAGCCGACCUGAGAGGGUGAUCGGCCACACUGGAACUGAGACACGGUCCAGACUCCUACGGGAGGCAGCAGUAGGGAAUCUUCCGCAAUGGGCGAAAGCCUGACGGAGCAACGCCGCGUGAGUGAUGAAGGUCUUCGGAUCGUAAAACUCUGUUAUUAGGGAAGAACAUAUGUGUAAGUAACUGUGCACACCUUGACGGUACCUAAUCAGAAAGCCACGGCUAACUACGUG